UCCAACCCACAAACAGACCAACACCUGCCACAUGGCGGAAGAACUUGGCAUUUUGUUUUAAGGCGGGCCCAAAUGCGGGGCGGUGCUAUAAGGCAGGGGGCGUGGCACGCCAUAAAGUUGGCAGCCUCGCCGUUGUCAGUUUCCAUAUCAGAUUACAUGUCCAAAAGGGAAGCACAGGCUGCUCUUUUUGCGGGACAGGAGUUACGGAAAAGUUAUUUAGUUGCAAAAAUUCUAUCCUGCCUUGGGAAGAAAUAUUUCGAGCAUGUAACUGUGCCAGCGUGGUAGCUUUAUAUUUUUUAUGCGCCUUGAACUUUUAUUUCCUUGUAUUAUUGAGUCUUUAACGAGGUGAACCCCAGGGCGUAUGCGUAAUUUUUGCAUCAAAGUGGAACUAAACGACAAGAAUUGGCAGGGCACUCUUGAAUUUUCCUUCCUCCCUAUAAAUAGAUAUCUUACAAAAUUGAUGUCCUGAGUUUUGCUUGUUUAAUUUUACCCUUUCACAUUUGGAAGAUUUUCAAUUUCUGUUUAACCUUCACGGUUAAAACAUAUACUUCGCUUCGCAAAUAAACUGUAUCGAAUUUUUGCAUUGCUUUACUAUAUAAAUGCGAUUCUUGGGGCUUCAGUUUCAGUCAAUAUGCAGUUCCUACAGCACGUAAUGAAGGUUUCGCUAGCCGUCCUGGUCAUUGCCGUUGCACAGAAAAAUUUAAAACCUAUUCCUUUGACUGGCGGUUAGCAUCCCAGAACGCUGUCUUAGUCCUAACGCAUAUCCUUCAUAAAAAGCCCGAGGAUGAUAAUACAAUUUCUUCUGCUUUCUAACAGUUUUAAAAAUAAAUGCGUUAAAUAACUGAUUUGGAAUCUA